GCGGAGGGAUCAUUACUGAGUUGAAAAACUCCAACCCCUGUGAACCUUACCUUCUUGUUGCUUCGGCGGCGUGAGCCCCCUGGGGGUCCCGUCGCCGGAGGUUUCAAACUCUGAAUUUUUAGUGUAUCUCUGAGCCUAAAAACAAUAAUCAAAACUUUCAACAACGGAUCUCUUGGUUCUGGCAUCGAUGAAGAACGCAGCGAAAUGCGAUAAGUAAUGUGAAUUGCAGAAUUCAGUGAAUCAUCGAAUCUUUGAACGCACAUUGCGCCCGCCGGUAUUCCGGCGGGCAUGCCUGUUCGAGCGUCAUUUCACCACUCAAGCACAGCUUGGUGUUGGGGCACCCGGCCGCCUAGCGGUUUGGGGCCCCCAAGUCCAUCGGCGGGCUCGUCGGGACCCUGAACGCAGUAACACGCGGUAAAACGCGCCCUCGUUCGGUGGAUCCAGGCGCGUUCUAGCCGCUAAAACCCCUAAUUUUCUUAGGUUGACCUCGGAUCAGGUAGGAAUAC
rnacentral:rRNA from 1 species